rnacentral:rRNA from 1 species
AUAAGAGCAUACGGAGGAUGCCUUGGCGUUCAGAGGCGAUGAAAGACGUGAAAUAGCUGCGAUAAGCUUCGGGGAGCUGCUAAUUAAGCCCUGAUCCGGAGAUUUCUGAAUGGGGAAACCCAACUACUUAGGUAGUUAUCCCUUCGGGGAGGCUAACCAGGGGAACUGAAACAUCUAAGUACCCUGAGGAAGAGAAAUCAAACGAGAUUCUCCUAGUAGCGGUGAGCGAAAAGGGAAUAGCCCAAACCUAAAGAACUUGUUCUUUAGGGGUUGUAGGGCGCACAAUAAAGUCGACCAAAGUUGAUAGUUGAACUGAGUUGGAAAGCUCGGCCAUAGACGGUGAUAGCCCGGUAAACGAAAUUAACGAUGGCGGCGAGUGCGUUCCUGAGUACGGCGGGACACGUGGAACCCUGCUGGAACCUGGGUGGACCAUCAUCCAAGGCUAAAUACUACUGAACGACCGAUAGCGAACUAGUACCGUGAGGGAAAGGUGAAAAGAACUCCGAGAGGAGAAUGAAAUAGAUCCUGAAACCGUAUGUUUACAAGCAGUGGUAGCACUAUGUUUCCUUCGGGAUUCACGUGCGACCGCGUACCUCUUGCAUCAUGGGUCAGUGAGUUGCUCCUCUGUGGCAAGGUUAAGCCGUUAGGUGUAGCCGAAGCGAAAGCGAGUCUGAAAUGGGCGAAUUAGUCAUAGGGGGCAGACCCGAAGCCAGGUGAUCUAUCCAUGGCCAGGUUGAAGCUGGGGUAACACCCAGUGGAGGACCGAACCGGGAGACGUUGAAAAGUCUUCGGAUGAGCUGUGGAUCGGAGUGAAAGGCUAAUCAAACCUGGAGAUAGCUGGUUCUCCUCGAAAUAUAUUUAGGUAUAGCGUCGUGUAUAUGCAGUGGGGGUAGAGCACUGAUUGGGCUAGGGGGCCUACCAGCUUACCAAACCCAGCUAGCCUCCGAAUACCACUGUAGUGGAGCACGGCAGUCAGCCGGUGGAUGACAAGGUCCAUCGACAAAAGGGAAAGAACCCGGACCGCCAGCUAAGGUCCCUAAAUUGAUGCUAAGUGUGAAAGGAUGUGAGAACGCUUAGACAACCAGGAGGUUGGCUUAGAAGCAGCCACCCUUUAAAGAAAGCGUAACAGCUCACUGGUCAAGCGGGCUCGUGCCGAAAAUGUAACGGGGCUAAGCAUCAUACCGAAGCUGCGGAUUUGCCCGUUUUCGUUAAGUUUUUAUAUGGAAAGUUGGAGAGCUCUGCUUCGCUAAAGCUACGCAGAGCAUUUGCCCUUGAGGGCAAAUCCGUUCUGCGUAGCCUUGGCGAAGCAGAACCGAGACUCGAAAUAUAUGGAUUUAACGAAGACGGGCAAAUGGUAGAGGAGCGUUCUUAACGGGCUGAAGCAGUAUCGCGAGAAGCUGUGGACUGUUAAGAAGUGAUUAUGCUGACAUGAGUAACGAUAAACAAAGCUAAUAAACUUUGUCGCCGAAAGCCCAAGGGUUCCUGAGCCAGGGUAAACCGCUCAGGGUGAGUCGGGUCCUAAGCCGAGGCCGAAAGGCGUAGGUGAUGGAAAACAGGUUAAUAUUCCUGUACCUCAUACAUUGCGCGAUGGGGGGACGGAGAAGGCUAGGUCAUCUAGUUAAUGGAUAUGCUAGUUUAAGUAUGUAGGCUGUAGAGUAGGCAAAUCCGCUCUAUAAAGCCGAGAUACGAUGACGAUCCGCGGGGCAACCCAAGGAGAAGUGACCGGUGCCAUGCUUCCUAGAAAAGCCUCUAAGUUUAAAUGUAUGGGUCCGUACCGCAAACCAACACAGGUGGGCAGGUAGAGAAUACUAAGGCGCUUGAGAUAACCGUGGUUAAGGAACUAGGCAAAUUGCAGCCGUAACUUCGGGAGAAGGCUGGCCUUUGCUGGUGAUGGACUUGCGUCCUGAGCUGGUGAAGGUUGCAGAGAGCAGGGGGUAGCGACUGUUUACUAAAAACACAGGACUCUGCUAACACGUAAGUGGAUGUAUAGGGUCUGACGCCUGCCCGGUGCCGGAAGGUUAAGGGGAUCAGUUAGUUCUUCGGAGCGAAGCUUUGAACCGAAGCCCCGGUGAACGGCGGCCGUAACUAUAAACAAAAAGUAAACUCGUCAAGAGUUGGACCAUUGUAGUUACGUAAAUAAAUUUGGCCAUAUGCUGGAAAAUCCGGUGUAUCCUUCAGUACUAGUCGAUAAUUCAUCUAGAUGGUGGAUUUAGCGGCAGUGACAAUCUGAAAGGUGCGGACAAUCAGCAGGAAAGGCUUGUAUGUUGGAUGUAAAUAACAUUCCUAUCCAGGUGGGUUACUAUCUCGCUGGGUUUGCGGACGGUGAAGGAAGCUUCAACGUUUCGUUUAGACCUAGGGAUGAUUGCUCAAUUCCCUGGAAAAUCUCUCUUUGCUUUAAUAUUUCACAAAAAGAUGAAGUCAUUUUGGCGUUGUGUAAACGUCAUCUCCAAUGUGGGACGAUGCGACAACGAAAUGAUGGUGUAUGGUAUUACGAAGUGAAUAACUUCAGAGCUAUUCAAGAAAACGUAAUUCCUUUUUUCCGUAAAUUCUCGUUUUUAUCAGCUAAGAAAAAUCGAGAUUUUCAAAAAUUUGUUAAAAUUGCGGAAAUCAUGGAAUCAAAACGGCACCUUCAAGCUGAAGGAGUCAGUGAAAUAUUGAAAUUAAGAGAUAAUAUGAACGAUGGUGGAAAGCGGAAGUAUUCCGCAGAAGAAAUCGUUCGACGCAUACAAGAAUCCUCAGAGACUACACGCCAGACAUCCGUAAAAAGAUGAUGAUAUAGUCCGAACUCUAUGGCGACAUAGAGAGCUAGGCAGAAAUGAUCUAGCCGCUCGAAUUAUUUCGGGUAGUAACAAAUUGAACGGUCCUAAGGUAAUGCUCCAUUGGGAGCUGUUGCCCCUCAGUAAGGAAACUUAUUGAGUGCAGCUGACUAUAUGCUGGAAACUCCGAGUAUC